CGUGAGGGAGCGCGGGGCAGCGCAAUCCCCCGCCCCCCCCCCACGCGCACCGCCCCGGCACCGCGCGCAUGCGCGCUGAGCUGCUGCGGGCACCUGCGCAAUAGUGAUCCUUCGGUCGCGCUCGGCGGAGAGCGGCCCGGGAGGACAUGCUGCCAAAUAGUGAUCCCUAGCUGCCGGUGGUCUCCUGAGGGGGCUGCGGGGUCCGGGCGCCGUCCCCACACACCGCACCUGCCCGGGCAGCGCUCCCCGCCUCCCUCCGGCCUCCCAGCAGCGCCGCACCGCCGGCGGGGCCGCUCCUCGGGCCGCGAGGUGCAGCUGAUCUCCGUUUCCUGCUGCCUGUGCCCUGCCCGAUUCCAAGCUGGCGAUGUCCAGGGUGCCGAGUCCCCCCCCUCCGGCAGAGAUGUCCAGCGGGCCCGUGGCCGAGAGCUGGUGCUACACACAGAUCAAGGUGGUGAAGUUCUCCUACAUGUGGACCAUCAACAACUUCAGCUUCUGCCGGGAGGAGAUGGGGGAGGUCAUCAAGAGCUCGACCUUUUCCUCUGGAGCCAACGACAAACUCAAGUGGUGAGGCCCAGGGAGAGGGGCUCACCCCAGCUGGGCUGUGGGGCUGGGCCAGGGAAUCCAUGCAAACACGGUUAUCCUGCACGUGGGA
rnacentral:lncRNA from 1 species